CAACUCCAACCAAACAAACGCGUUGCUUGAACCUUCAUCAGAUCUAAAAUUUUAGCUCCCUCGUUCUCCCUAGAACUCUCCGCCCAUUUCAUGUCAAACCCUAGAAUUCGCCAUCUCUCUAUUCUCCUUGAUACCGCUUUCUUCCAAAUCGUUCAAUGGGUUUUUUGAUAAAUCGCGCUACAAUCCUGUUUCUUCCAACUCUCAUAAUCUAGAUGAGUAGAAUAUUUUCAUCUCUUACAAUUUUGUGUUAUAUUUUCAAGCCGAUCUAUAGAGAGAGAACGAUGUCGACCUCGUACUACACUCGACGUUCGCUUCGGCUAUUGCGGAAACAGGCCUUCCAUGGCUACUAGCUAAAGGACUUGACACGUUUACCUCUAUCAGUGAAAUGGCAAGAUAUAUCGAAUUCGACAAAUAACUAGGACAGCAUAUGACUGAUCAUUUAUCCUUGGUUUGUCAAUUUUGUGCAGAUUCCUGUAUCUGCAGUGCCUGAUCCUCAUAACUUGGAGCCGUGGUUGGAUGUUGAUGGAGAAUCGAAGCAGAAAGGAUCAACAAAAGACAUGAUAUCCAAAAUCCCAUUCCUGAUUAGCCAUAUCAGUUCUUUCAUGACACUUAUGGAAGGAGAUGUCAUCCUAACAGGUUUUCUUGAUUUUACACAAAAAUCUCAAAUGAAGGAGAACGAAAACUACGGAGAAGAAGAACUCGCCGACCUCUACUAGGGUGAGUUUCCAAAUCCUGAUGCUUCAAAGGUCACCUUUUAUGGUUCUUUUUGUCAUUUGUGUGGAUUUAGCUCUUUUUUUUAAUUUAUUAAUGUGCUUUUCCAUUGAGAUAUGGCAGACCAUGUCAUGGUUGUGGAUGUAAGAAUAAAUCUUGUUACUUAUGCAAGCCGAAUUUAUGAGAUAACUUGAUUUUUUAGUGUUCUUGAACUUUUGUGUUUUAUGAGAUAACUUGAUUGGAUGAGCUAGGUUGGGUUAGAUUUAGUGAUGUAUUUUGUGUUGGGAGUAAGUUGGUUGUAUUCUUGCCGAGGCUAUAGAAACCAUGAUGUUCACCAUGUGUGAUUAGGUCACUCUAUCUUGCUGUUGAAUUUUUGUUUGAUUGGUUUGGUCUUUUCCUCUUUGGGACGGUUCCAUGCUGGAGUUAAUAUUUUAGCUGGUCUGAGUCUGGUACAAAUUGGAACCAAAUCUGGUCUUUGUUGUAGUUUGGGUGGUUUUAUUGACGGGAGACUGAUUCUGGUCAUUUUUGGGUUAAUUUUGUUGUAUGUUAUUUAGGUUGAUUUUGUUAAUUUUUCUAGCCGAAUUGGUUUGAGUCUUAAUCUCUAUUUGUUCACUUGCAAAAUUGAAGUUUUACUUUGUGUAAACUCUUGUCUAGGGUUACAAUAAAGGUGCUAGAGUAUUUUAGGAGACCAAGUGAGGACUUUAGGGUUCAGUGCUCACUUAAGAAUUAGUGGAGCACUCGGUUGACAGAAAUUGUUGUUUGCUGAUAGAAGUGCUUCAUUUUAUGCUUUUCGGUUUCAUUUGUCAUGAAUUAUUUGAGCAGAGCACCACACUACCUG